rnacentral:rRNA from 1 species
CCUACGGGUGGCUGCAGUGAGGAAUAUUGGUCAAUGGCCGGAAGGCUGAACCAGCCAUGCCGCGUGAAGGUCAGUGCCCUAUGGGCGUUAAACUUCUUUUGUGCGGGAGCAAUAAUGGUCACGUGUGGCCAGACGAGAGUACCGUACGAAUAAGCAUCGGCUAACUCCGUGCCAGCAGCAGCGGUUUUACGGGGGGUGCAAGCGUUAUCCGGAGUGUUUGGGUUUAAAGGGUGCGGAGGCUGUGAGGUAAGUCAGCGUUGGAAUGCCCCGGCUCAACGGGGUGAAGUGCCAUUGAUACUGGGUUGCUGGAGUGCAGAUGCGGUAGGAGGAAUGUGUGGUGUAGCGGUGAAAUGCAUAGAUAUCA